UUAAUCCCUUAGCUCAACUUAGUAUUUCUCUUACUAUUUUCACAGGAACUCUUAUCACAAUGCUAGGCUCACACUGAUUUCUCACCUGAACAGGCCUAGAAAUAAACAAACUAGCCUUACUCCAAUCUUAAUUUAAAAAAUAAAUCCCUGCUCUACAGAAGCAGCCACCAAAUAUUUCCUUACACAAGCAAGCACAUCUAUAAUUCUUAUAAUAGACAUCCCUCCCAAUAACCUGGCUUCCAGACAAUGAAAAAUUAUAAACACUAUCAAUCAAUUCUCAUUCUUAAUAAUAGUGGCCCUAGUAAUAAAACUAGGAAUAGCCCCCUUUCACUUCUGAGUCUCAGAGGUAACCCAAGGAAUCUCUGUAAUGUCUGGUAUACUUCUGAUAUGACAAAAACUAGCCCCUAUCUCGAUUAUGUUUCAAAUUUUCCCAUCAACAAACAUGAACAUCCCCUUAUCUAUCAGAAUCCUAUCCAUUAGAGUGGGCAGUUGAGGGAGACUUAAUGAAACCCAACUGUGUAAAAUCCUGGCCUACUCCUCAAUCACUCACAUAGGUUGAAUAACAGCAGUACUAAUUUAUAACCCAAAUAUUACCACCCUAAACCUGAUUAUUUACCUUAUCUUAACAACAGCCGCAUUUCUAGCACUCAACCUGAGUGUAAGCACCACAACCCUGUCACUAUCUCACGCCUGAAACAAAUGAGCAUGGCUGACACCUGUAAUUCCACUAAUUCUACUAUCCCUAGGAGGUUUACCCCCAUUAACAGGGUUCCUGCCUAAACGCAUCAUCAUCCAAGAA
rnacentral:lncRNA from 1 species